UGUCACGGCCGAGCCACCUGAAUGGGUAUGGACCGGGCAUAAGGCGCAAAUUCGCGCCAACGCGAUACCGGAGCACUCUCGUUUUCAUUGCGUUACGUCAUUAGUGCAAGUUACAUUGGAUUAUCGCGCGCACGUUGAGCGCAAACUAUACUUAUACCAUUAAUCAUGGACUAACACAACGCUCGGUGCGUUGAGCGACUGGCGGGCGGCGCGGCAACGCAGCGCGAGGCGCCAUCUUCUCCGUCUUGCCGCUGCUGGUAUCUAUGACGUGUGCCGUGCAUCCAUCCACACUUUUUAUCAGGAGCAGUGGUAUGCCAGAAUCAUGAAGAAAAGGUGUGAAUGCUGGAUCAUCAUUGAUCUUGCCAAGGAAGUAGAGAGCGAGAGAAAGCGCGAAGGACAGAAGUUCGUCACAUGUACGAAUAGGACUUAAGUACAUUAAUUUAAAGUAAAAACAAAUAAGAUGUUUAUAGAACCAUAGCCCUUUAAGUGGAAACCAUAAAUUGAUUAAUUCACCAUCUGGCCCAUUUGGCCUCCACCACACCACUGUUAACUAACGCCUGUAGAAUUUACGUACAGAUGUGUAGACUUAGAAACCAGUGGUGUCCUGGGUCCAAACACAAGUCGACAUACCAUCAUUUGUGCAAGGUUUUUAAAUUCGGAAAAAUACAGGUCCGUUAAGGCCAUAAUGUCGUGCCAUCAUGAAUGACUGGAAAGAAAUCGUUCAGCAAAGCGUAGAUGCACUAGUUUCGCCACUGACUAUCCCCUUGGAAGCAAAAACAUAUGAUGUACACAAAUGUCUUAUCUACAUUAAAAAUGCGAAAGUUUAUGAACAUGUUCGUUAUAAAGAAAAAAAAACAGAUGAACGUAAUUGAAUUAAAAUUUAGCACACAUAUAGAACAUGUCUUUGAUUAUCAUAUAGGCGUCUUUUUAUCACGGUCUCUAGCUGCCGUAGGACAUUAUUAAUUUAACUUGUGGUUUAAAUAGAUGUCGCUGGCGUCGUAUAGAUGGCGCUUUGGACUGGUUCAGUUGUUGAGGGAUUUUGUAAAGACUAAGGCUUUUAAAGCGGGGAGCAGAACCUAGUGUUACUAAUAUUAUAAAUGCGAAAGUCUGUGAGGAUGGAUGUAUAUUUGUUCCUGUUCCACCAAAAAACUACUGAACGGAUUUGGACGAAACUUUACAAUAAUAUUGGUUAUACAUCAGAAUAACACAUAGGCUACAAUUUAUAAUGAUUUGUGUAAUUUGGUCAAAAUGUAACGAUACACAUCAAGCAAUUCGGAAAAAAAAUAUCCCGGAAAACUCCUUCAGGCGAGCGAAGCCGCGAGCAAAAGCUAGUGUUACAUAAAAUUAUGAAAAUCUAUAGGUUCAUUUUCUAACCUCUACUGAGCUUUGACGUACUAACUCAAAUACUAACUAGACAACACUUUAUAAUCGUGAGCUAAUUUAAAAAUUUAAAUAGCCAUUAGACUCUCUAGUUAUGAUCAUAAAAACGCUUCAAACGUAUUAACAUUAACAAACCGGUAAUAUGUUUUUAGCUUACGAAAAUAAAUAUAUAAUUGUAUAGGUUUUAAAAUAUACAGGUAAUAAAUUAUGCAAAGUCUAUUAAUAUAUACCAGGUCGAGAAAAAUAAAAAGCCUUGCUAUGUUGUGGUAAAAUAUGGAACUAAUCUCUUAUAGGUUUUUUAUUUGCCUGGUCAGGCUAUCAGUGGCGAAAUGUGAUUUUUUUGGAAAAGGAACCCGACCUAAUGUAUACAGAUACUAAUAAGCAUGAAUGCGGUCUGCAAAUCGUUCUAAUAAUAUGAUUCUAUAUGAAGGGAAGCCGGUAGGAAUCGGGUAAUAUGGGCCCUUCGAUACCACAGACUAUAGAAAAUUUAAUGCGGUAUCAACUAUUCAUUGAAAUGAAGAUUUUGCAAUCUAAACAGUCUGAUAUUAAAAUACUUAAUAAUAAGAUGUUUUGUAUUGUUAUAAAGGUUAACAAAUACAAUAUCGGCUUCAUUAGUCAUUAUAAAUUUAAUUUAAACCUCGUGGCAUGUUUGUAAAUUGCUAAUAAUUAUGUGUUUCAAGUAUUCCAUGUCCGUAUCAUUUCGCGAAUAAAAUAUUAUGUUAAAUAUAUCGUAUUAGGUUCUUGUUGGGACCUAUUUCUUAACAAACUUUUAGUCAACUAAAUACAUCUCUGCACAGUAGUAAAGCAAUGGCUUACAGUAACCCGGAAGUACUUAACUAACUACCACGCGUCAAGCAAUUGAAAGAAAUAAAAUUUAACAUAAUGAUUACGAUAAUAUACGUUGGCUUUAAAAAUAGAUAAUCUCGUGAGUUGCGGCUUCAAAGAGCUUAGGUUAAGCUUCGUUAACCCAAAAUAAAUAUGUGAUGUUUUGGGCUACCUUUCCGUUUUUCUUUGAAUAAUACUUAAUUUAAUAUUGGCUGCUGAAAACUAUGUUUUGUUUUAAAACAUUUUAAGAACUAAAAUAUAUCAUGUAGGGACCGCUCUACCGACUCUUCAUGGUCUUAUAUUUGAUUAAAAUAUAUUGAGCUAAAUUAAAAUUACUUGUAAUAAUUUCUAUUUUCAAUUUAUAACAUUUUGUAUAAUUGUAAAAUGUAGGAAGAUAUUGUAACGUUGGACCGUGUUGGACGACCAACAACUCAGUCCGCCUCUUAACCAUGAAAGCUGCACAUUCUUCGAAACGUCGGGAGAAAAUCAUAAUACAAAAAACGGAAUAAACUCCGAAAUAGUUUUAUUCCGAUAACGUUAUUUUUAAAAAAAUAACUUAAAAGUACCUUUAUUUACAAUUGCAGUAUGGUGGCGGAUAUAUUUGCCAAAAGAAAGUUGUCUUUCAAAAGUUCUCUUAAAAUAUGCGAAUAUAGUGAGGGAAGGACUUAAUGGAAUAGUUAUUAAGAUAGGUUUUUACUAAGGUCUUAUUUUUGUAAUGCCAAAAGCUGAAAAUAUUAUUUAAACCAAUUAUUGCGUGGUCUCUAAGAGCAUCUUAAGACUUUCUCGAUAUAGGAAUAGUCUUUAUUACAAAAGGACCAAAUCAUAGAACGAAGUACAAAGUACGUUACAGAGUACAAAGAACAUGGAUAGUUCAUAAAUAAAGGCCAACUUUCCAAUGAGAUUACCCAUCGGAAUUAGGGCACAUGUGACUGCAUCGAUACUAUUAGGGUCAAUUAAUCGAUCAGAAAUCGAUCUAUCGAAAUCCGCAAUUAAUUCUAACAAUUAAUAUUCUAUGUGAACCGUGGAAGCUGUAAUGUUCGUUUUAAAAUUAACAAAUACAUAAAUUCACGUCUUAACCACCCAAGGGGUAGGCAGAGGGAGGACAGUGCAUCAAUGGUUAACCAAGCAUAUUUCUCUUCUCUAAUCGCCUGAUAUGGUAUUAGUUAUAAAAGUGGAAUACUCAAGUGUAUUUUAUUCGAAUCGAAAAUCUUGUAUCGAUUUUAAUUGGACGAUUUAGAAAUGGAAACCAAAAUAUCACAGACCGCAGUUUGAACUCUAACGCUGCCGUUAGACUAAUGAUGGAAUAAAUCAUAUUAAAGAUACAAUUGUAUACGAUAGAAUCAAGUCUAGUUACUACCUAACUAGGUUUGUGUACAGAGUGUAUAUUUAAGACAGGCUGGAUCUGGAACGUACCAAUUGAGAGGUCCAAAUAGAUGUUUAAAUUACUAUAAAAAAAAUGAAAAGCCAUUCUCUUAGGGUCAAAAACGUCGAAAUGCACCAUCACGCAGGGUUGUCAUCGAAAGAAAGAAGAAAGAAAAACGAAUAAUCCGAGAUUCCGGCCUAUGUAGCUGAAAGUCUCAAUGAGUCUUCAACUUUAUCUUCCUCACAAGGGAUGAAAUACCAUUAUUGUCCUAGUUUGUGCGAACGCCUGGUAACCCGACCACAUAUAUUUUAUGAACUGUAGACAUUUGUUAUGUUGUUAAAGCAAGGAGACAACAUAAUUCAACGUAAUACCGGCGGUAGAUCAUCCGUCAUAAAAAAAAACUACAUCAGAGUAAAGCCCGCGACUCCCACGUCAUGGAGAUCCGUAAAUUAUAAUUUUGGUUGUCACAACACAGUCCAGAAACGAAAGCCAUGCGUCAUUUUUGUAAAAAAAUAUUAAUAUCUUUCGAAUCUGUGAAUAUUUUAUGGGCGAAAUACCUUCUCGUUAUAUAGUCGCACUGUGUUCAUAAGUUUGCUAUAGGAUCCCAGGUCCUGAUGCUUACUCAGGCAAUCAGAAAGUAUUUAGUUUUCUAUUUAAUUAUACCGUUUACAAGUCAUCAUAGUUUGUUGAUCCGUUGACACUUCUAUUACCGCCACACAAUAAAACUUACGGCCAAUUUCAAUAAACUAUCCGAAUCUCUAUCCUAGAAUCAAUAGCGGUGGCCAAAGGUUCAUAUAACCCGAUUCCUGCCGGCUUCUCUUUCUUAAUUUACAUAAAAUCUAAUUAUCAUUACAACGAUUUGCAGUCACUAUUUAUGCAUGUUAGUACUUAACUAUAAUAUGUUGUGUUGGGUUUCCUUUCGGAAAAUUGCACCCUUCGCCCCGGAUCAAUAGUAAGAGUAGACAUAAAAAAGUCAUCCUAAAGAAUGUUGAACAAACCUAUUUUUAUGGGCCAUUUUGCGGUCGAUAUGAAAGCAAUUUGGAUCGUUCCUUUUAAAAAUGAAUAAUGGCAUGAAGAAAUGGUACAUAAUAAUUCUCCGGUAGCCUGGUAAGUCUGCAAAAAAAUACACUUACCUUAGACAACUAGAAUGUCUGGCUGUCCAUGACAUAUUCUCAGAUAGUUCUUGAAGCCCCAAUACUGGAAACUCCGCCGUGACAUGUCCAAAUGUACCUGAAAUACAUACAAAUCGUUCGUAAAA